rnacentral:rRNA from 1 species
GACGAACCGAGCGAACGUUGUUCGGAAUCACUGGGCUUAAAGGGCGCGUAGGCGGACCGUCAAGUCCGGGGUGAAAUCUUUCGGCUCAACCGGAAAAGUGCCUUGGAUACUGACGGUCUCGAGGGAGGUAGGGGCAGGCGGAACUUCCGGUGGAGCGGUGAAAUGCGUUGAUAUCGGAAGGAACUCCGGUGGCGAAGGCGGCCUGCUGGACCUCUUCUGACGCUGAGGCGCGAAAGCUAGGGGAGCAAAC